rnacentral:rRNA from 1 species
GAUGAACGCUGGCGGCGUGCCUAAUACAUGCAAGUCGAGCGAACAGACGAGGAGCUUGCUCCUCUGACGUUAGCGGCGGACGGGUGAGUAGCACGUGGAUAACCUACCUAUAAGACUGGGAUAACUUCGGGAAACCGGAGCUAAUACCGGAUAAUAUAUUGAACCGCAUGGUUCAAUAGUGAAAGACGGUUUUGCUGUCACUUAUAGAUGGAUCCGCGCCGCAUUAGCUAGUUGGUAAGGUAACGGCUUACCAAGGCAACGAUGCGUAGCCGACCUGAGAGGGUGAUCGGCCACACUGGAACUGAGACACGGUCCAGACUCCUACGGGAGGCAGCAGUAGGGAAUCUUCCGCAAUGGGCGAAAGCCUGACGGAGCAAAGCCGCGUGAGUGAUGAAGGUCUUCGGAUCGUAAAACUCUGUUAUUAGGGAAGAACAAAUGUGUAAGUAACUAUGCACGUCUUGACGGUACCUAAUCAGAAAGCCACGGCUAACUACGUG